AUACGGGAGGCAGCAGUUUCGAAUCAUUCACAAUGGGCGAAAGCCUGAUGGUGCGACGCCGCGUGAGGGAUGAAGGUCUUCGGAUUGUAAACCUCUGUCACUAGGGAAGAAACGCUGAAUUUUAAUACGAUUCAGCCUGACUUAACCUGGAGAGGAAGCAGUGGCUAACUCUGUGCCAGCAGCCGCGGUAAUACAGAGACUGCAAGCGUUAUUCGGAUUCACUGGGCGUAAAGGGUGCGCAGGCGGCCGUGUGUGUCAGAUGUGAAAGCCCGGGGCUUGACCCCGGAACUGCGUCUGAAACUACACGGCUAGAGCAUUGGAGAGGGAAGUGGAAUUCAUGGUGUAGCAGUGAAAUGCGUAGAUAUCAUGAGGAACACCAGAGGCGAAGGCGACUUCCUGGACAAUUGCUGACGCUCAGGCACGAAAGCGUGGGUAGCAAAAGGGAUUAGAUACCCGUGUAGUCCG
rnacentral:rRNA from 1 species